CAGAUACACCAUGGACCGGUCACCAGUAUGUCACAUAUUUAAAAAUGUGAAGGUGUAGAAAGUGGCUUUCCACACCACCACUGCUUUCUAGUGUCCAAAAACACAAAUGAAACCAUCUAUCCAUCUUCUUCCGCUUAUCUAGGGUCACAGGGGCAGCAGCGUAAGCCAGGGGUGUCCUUUUUGCAAAGAGGGCCAGAUUUGGGAAGGUGAGAAUGUGUGGGGGCCGACCAUUCAGCCUGAAAUAUUUUGAACCAAUAACAUUAAAUGCAAACGAACGACUUUAUAAUUUUUUCCCCCUUUUUUCACACACAAAUUUUAUUAUGAUUUUUUUUUUAUUAUGAAUCAUUUAUUAUUAAACGUUUUUACCAAAAUCAUGUAUUUGAAAAACACACAAAAUGAAGAAAAAUUAAACAUCUAAAUUCAAAACAUGUGAACAGGAAAAUAACAUUAAGAGUUAACAUAUUCAAAAGUACAAAACAUCAAAACCAAAAAUGGAUGUGUUUUUUAUUAUUUCAAUUUUUAACUCUGAUCAAAGAUACGAAAUUGAAAAACCGGCUGCCGGACCGAAUUUGAUUUUAUUAUUUAAUUUGUAGGGUUUAGGAGACCUGGUUUGAGUGUUAAUUGAAACAACAACAACGACGAAAAAAGACUAAAAAACUAAACAAAUAACUUGCCUGCACUAAUGUGAAGGGUGAUAAUUAAACCUUGACUGAAGUAAAUGGCCCAGGUUUAGCCAUAGCUGGACUGGCCAUCGGGCACACCGGGCAUUUGCCCGGUGGGCUGCUGGCGAUUUUUUGUUUUUAUGGGCCGAUGGAUUUAUUUUUUAUUUUAUUUUAUUUUUUUAGGAAGGGUAUAUAUAAUGAAAGGUGUUGGAUUGGCCAAUUGGUCAUGAUCGACUCUGGGCUGGACCAAUUACAGCCGAGGAGGCCGGAUGCACCCUCCCCCUUGUUUAGCAAUCACGUGAUUUCCGCGCAUUGCAUGCCGGGAAUUAGUGGCAAAACAAUCCAAGUACCGCAUCAAAUGCAAGCAUUUGCAGCACCGCAAAACGUUAAUUCUCCGGUUCCAAUACCUUCUUGUUUUUUCUUUGCCGCACAAAAAAGGAAUGCACAAAACAAAAGGAGAACAAUGCCGGUCCGUACAAAGACAGACUCGACGAAAAGACAAAGAAAAGAUACAAGGAAAAAUCAAAGGAGUGAAAGGGUCAGACCCUUACGAGCACACAGAGUGGACAAAAGAUGUUAGCGUGCUGCCCAACUUUCACCACGCUCAGAUUUAUAAUUAUACGGUUCUUGCAGUGAGUGCAUACACUCAUGAAGUUUAGUAACUUCAGGUCACUGCA
ensembl:lncRNA